AAUCAACGCUGGCGGCGUGCCUAACACAUGCAAGUCGAACGCGAAAGGGGCUUCGGCUCUGAGUAGAGUGGCGAACGGGUGAGUAACGCGUGGGUGACCUGCAUUCGAGUGGGGGAUACCGUUUCGAAAGGAACGCUAAUACCGCCUGACAUCCUGUCUUUAGACAGAUGAAGAUCAAAGCCGGGGAUCGCAAGACCUGGCGCUCGGAGAGGGGCCCGCGUCCGAUUAGCUAGUUGGUGGGGUAAUGGCCUAACAAGGCGACGAUCGGUAGCCGGCCUAAGAGGGCGGACGGCCACACUGGGACUGAGACACGGCCCAGACUCCUACGGGAGGCAGCAGUGGGGAAUAUUGGACAAUGGGCGAAAGCCUGAUCCAGCCAUGCCGCGUGUGUGAAGAAGGUCUUCGGAUUGUAAAGCACUUUAAGUCGGGAGGAAGGGCUGUAGGCUAAUACCUUGCAGUUUUGACGUUACCGACAGAAUAAGCACCGGCUAACUUCGUGCCAGCCGCCGCGGUAAUAC
rnacentral:rRNA from 1 species